AGAGUUUGAUCCUGGCUCAGAUUGAACGCUGGCGGAAUGCUUUACACAUGCAAGUCGAACGGCAGCACGGGUGCUUGCACCUGGUGGCGAGUGGCGAACGGGUGAGUAAUGCGUCGGAACGUACCGAGUAAUGGGGGAUAACGCGGCGAAAGUCGCGCUAAUACCGCAUACGCCCUGAGGGGGAAAGUGGGGGAUCGCAAGACCUCACGUUAUUCGAGCGGCCGACGUCUGAUUAGCUAGUUGGUGGGGUAAAGGCCUACCAAGGCGACGAUCAGUAGCGGGUCUGAGAGGAUGAUCCGUCACACUGGGACUGAGACACGGCCCAGACUCCUACGGGAGGCAGCAGUGGGGAAUUUUGGACAAUGGGGGCAACCCUGAUCCAGCCAUUCCGCGUGAGUGAAGAAGGCCUUCGGGUUGUAAAGCUCUUUCAGCUGGAACGAAACGGUACGCUCUAACAUAGCGUGCUAAUGACGGUACCGGCAGAAGAAGCACCGGCUAACUACGUGCCAGCAGCCGCGGUAAUACGUAGGGUGCGAGCGUUAAUCGGAAUUACUGGGCGUAAAGCGUGCGCAGGCGGAUUGUUAAGCAAGACGUGAAAGCCCCGGGCUUAACCUGGGAAUGGCGUUUUGAACUGGCAGUCUAGAGUGCGUCAGAGGGGGGUGGAAUUCCACGUGUAGCAGUGAAAUGCGUAAAGAUGUGGAGGAACACCAAUGGCGAAGGCAGCCCCCUGGGAUGACACUGACGCUCAUGUACGAAAGCGUGGGUAGCAAACAGGAUUAGAUACCCUGGUAGUCCACGCCCUAAACGAUGUCAACUGGUUGUUGGGGGGAGUGAAAUCCCUUAGUAACGAAGCUAACGCGUGAAGUUGACCGCCUGGGGAGUACGGUCGCAAGAUUAAAACUCAAAUGAAUUGACGG
rnacentral:rRNA from 1 species